UACAGAGGGGGCAAGCGUUGUUCGGAAUUACUGGGCGUAAAGGGCGCGUAGGCGGCCUGCUAAGUCGAACGUGAAAUCCCCGGGCUCAACCCGGGAACUGCGUCCGAGACUGGCAGGCUCGAAUCCGGGAGAGGGAUGUGGAAUUCCAGGUGUAGCGGUGAAAUGCGUAGAUAUCUGGAGGAACAUCGGUGGCGAAGGCGGCAUCCUGGACCGGUAUUGACGCUGAGGCGCGAAAGCUAGGGUAGCAAACGGG
rnacentral:rRNA from 1 species